rnacentral:rRNA from 1 species
UUAGGCACACGGUGGAUGCCUGGGCAUGGCAAGCUGAUGAAGGACGUGGUGGGCUGCGUUAAGCCUCGGGGAGUUGCCGUAUGAGCGUUGAUCCGAGGAUGUCCGAAUGGGGAAACCUAGCUUCCAGUGAUGGGGGUUACCGUAUGAUGAAUUCAUA